CAUCACAGCACUGAAAGAGACACACUGUCAAAGAAGAACACAAGGGCUUGCAGAGAUUCUACCAGUCUUGGUCCUGUCCGCCAUGAGAUGUUCAAGGCAUGAAAGCCACAGCUCUAGACACAGCUCUAUGCCGCCGGGGACGUGGGAGGCAGAUAAUUCGCUCCCGGCUGAUUACGGUUAUCCUGUGGGCUAAUUUCAGACACGAUGGGUGUUUCCAGCGUGUCUGGAUGUGCGGCACCUCUAGGGCAUUGCAAAUGGAUUGGACGGC